rnacentral:rRNA from 1 species
UACGUAGGGCGCAAGCGUUAUCCGGAAUUAUUGGGCGUAAAGAGCUUGUAGGCGGUUUGUCGCGUCUGCCGUGAAAUUUCGAGGCUCAACCUCGAACUUGCGGUGGGUACGGGCAGGCUCGAGUUCGGUAGGGGAGACUGGAAUUCCUGGUGUAGCGGUGAAAUGCGCAGAUAUCAGGAGGAACACCGGUGGCGAAGGCGGGUCUCUGGGCCGAUACUGACGCUGAGGAGCGAAAGCGUGGGGAGCGAACAGG